rnacentral:rRNA from 1 species
UUUUAAAAGACCUAGCAAUAGGUAUGCUUAGGGAAGAGCUUGCGUCACAUUAGUUAGUUGGUGGGGUAAUGGCCUACCAAGACGAUGAUGUGUAGCCGGGCUGAGAGGUCGAACGGCCACAUUGGGACUGAGACACGGCCCAAACUCCUACGGGAGGCAGCAGUAAGGAAUUUUCGGCAAUGGAGGAAACUCUGACCGAGCAAUGCCGCGUGAACGAUGAAGUAUUUCGGUACGUAAAGUUCUUUUAUUAGGGAAGAAAAGAUGGUGGAAAAACCAUUAUGACGGUACCUAAUGAAUAAGCCCCGGCUAACUAUGUGCCAGCAGCCGCGGUAAUACAUAGGGGGCAAGCGUUAUCCGGAAUUAUUGGGCGUAAAGGGUGCGUAGGCGGUUAAAUAAGUUUAUGGUCUAAGUGCAACGCUCAACGUUGUGAUGCUAUAAAAACUGUUUAGCUAGAGUUGGAUAGAGGCAAGUGGAAUUCCGUGUGUAGUGGUAAAAUGCGUAAAUAUACGGAGGAACACCAGAAGCGAAGGCGGCUUGCUGGGUCUUAACUGACGCUGAGGCACGAAAGCGUGGGGAGCAAACAGGAUUAGAUACCCUGGUAGUCCACGCCCUAAACGAUGAGUACUAAACGUUGGAUAAAACCAGUGUUGAAGUUAACACAUUAAGUACUCCGCCUGAGUAGUACGUACGCAAGUAUGAAACUUAAAGGAAUUGACGGGACUCCGCACAAGCGGUGGAUCAUGUUGUUUAAUUCGAAGGUACCCGAAAAACCUCACCAGGUCUUGACAUGCUUUUGCAAAGCUGUAGAAAUACAGUGGAGGUUAUCAGAAGCACAGGUGGUGCAUGGUUGUCGUCAGCUCGUGUCGUGAGAUGUUGGGUUAAGUCCCGCAACGAGCGCAACCCUUGUUGUUAAUUGCCAUCAUUAAGUUGGGGACUUUAGCAAGACUGCCAAUGAUAAAUUGGAGGAAGGUGGGGACGACGUCAAAUCAUCAUGCCCCUUAUGACCUGGGCUACAAACGUGAUACAAUGGCUGUUACAAAGGGUAGCUAAAGCGUAAGCUUUUGGCGAAUCUCAAAAAAGCAGUCUCAGUUCGGAUUGAAGUCUGCAACUCGACUUCAUGAAGUUGGAAUCGCUAGUAAUCGCGAAUCAGCAUGUCGCGG